CCGUAGGUGAACCUGCGGAAGGAUUA
rnacentral:rRNA from 1 species